rnacentral:tRNA from 1 species
AAUUAAUGAGCUUGUAAAAGCAUAUAUUUUGAAAAUAUAAUAAAGAAAUAAAUAUUCUAUUAAUUU